rnacentral:rRNA from 1 species
UGUGAUGCCCUUAGAUGUUCUGGGCCGCACGCGUGCUACACUGAUACGUACAACAAGGUAUAUGCAUUCGUGCAUCAAUGCUGCUCCGAAAUAGACACAGCUAAAUCUUCUAAAAUACGUAUCGUGCUGCGGAUAGAUCGUUGAAAUUAUGAAUCUUGAAGGCGGAAUCCCUAGUAAGCGCAAGUCAUCAACUUGCGCUGAUUACGUCCCUGCCCUUUGUACACACCGCCCGUCGCUCCUACCAAUUUCGAGUGGCUCGGUGAACCUCUUUGGACUGUCGAGCAAUCGCGAAAUUAGAGUGAACCUGGUCACUUAGAGGAAGGAGAAGUCGUAACAAGGUUUCCCGUA